UUACAAGCCGCCGCCGAAGAU
rnacentral:siRNA from 1 species